GGUUCCAUAGAGUAGUGGUUAGCACGUCUGCUUUACAUGCAGAAGGUUCUGGGUUCCACCCCAGUGGAGCUC
rnacentral:tRNA from 1 species